rnacentral:rRNA from 1 species
CAGUAGCCGCGGUAAAACGUAGGGUGCGAGCGUUAAUCGGAAUUACUGGGCGUAAAGCGUGCGCAGGCGGUUCGUUAAGACAGAUGUGAAAUCCCCGGGCUUAACCUGGGAACUGCAUUUGUGACUGGCGAGCUAGAGUAUGGCAGAGGGGGGUAGAAUUCCACGUGUAGCAGUGAAAUGCGUAGAGAUGUGGAGGAAUACCGAUGGCGAAGGCAGCCCCCUGGGCCAAUACUGACGCUCAUGCACGAAAGCGUGGGGAGCAAACAGGAUUAGAUACCCCGGUAGUCCCUGUCUCUUAUAC